rnacentral:rRNA from 1 species
CCCUACGCCAUUGACAAUGACAAGGACAAGUUGGGCGGGGUGUUCUUCGUGGCAAACCUAUUCCCCUCCCACGAAUGCACGUUCUUUCUGUGGGCCUGGGACAAGGCCAUAACCCCGACAACGGUUAGGUUUAUGAGAGACUUGAUUGAUUCCACGGCUGAGGAGUACGGACUGUUUAGAAUCGUGGCCCACGCCGCCGACAAGAAACUGGGGGAUGUCCUUGAACACCUUGGCAUGACGCUUGAGGCCAACUUAAAGUUUGGCUACAAGUCCGGCGGGAGGGC